GAGUUUGAUCGUGGCUCAGAUUGAACGCUGGCGGCAUGCCUUACACAUGCAAGUCGAACGGCAGCACGGGAGCUUGCUCCUGGUGGCGAGUGGCGAACGGGUGAGUAAUGCAUCGGAACGUAUCCUGGAGUGGGGGAUAACGUAGCGAAAGUUACGCUAAUACCGCAUAUUCUGUGAGCAGGAAAGCGGGGGACCUUCGGGCCUCGCGCUCUUGGAGCGGCCGAUGUCGGAUUAGCUAGUUGGUGAGGUAAAGGCUCACCAAGGCGACGAUCCGUAGCAGGUCUGAGAGGAUGAUCUGCCACACUGGAACUGAGACACGGUCCAGACUCCUACGGGAGGCAGCAGUGGGAAUUUUGGACAAUGGGGGCAACCCUGAUCCAGCCAUGCCGCGUG
rnacentral:rRNA from 1 species